AACGAACGCUGGCGGCAGGCCUAAUACAUGCAAGUCGAACGCACCGCAAGGUGAGUGGCAGACGGGUGAGUAACGCGUGGGAACCUUCCUAGUAGUACGGAAUAACUCCGGGAAACCGGUGCUAAUACCGUAUAAGCCCUCCGGGGGAAAGAUUUAUCGCUACUAGAUGGGCCCGCGUCGGAUUAGCUUGUUGGUGAGGUAAUGGCUCACCAAGGCUUCGAUCCGUAGCUGGUCUGAGAGGAUGAUCAGCCACACUGGGACUGAGACACGGCCCAGACUCCUACGGGAGGCAGCAGUAGGGAAUAUUGGACAAUGGGCGAAAGCCUGAUCCAGCCAUGCCGCGUGAGUGAAGAAGGCCUUAGGGUUGUAAAGCUCUUUUGGCGGGAAGAUAAUGACGGUACCCGCAGAAUAAGCUCCGGCUAACUUCGUGCCAGCCGCCGCGGU
rnacentral:rRNA from 1 species